rnacentral:rRNA from 1 species
UACGUAGGGGCGAGCGUUGUCCGGAAUGAUUGGGCGUAAAGGGCGCGUAGGCGGUUGUGCAAGUCAGUAGUGGAAGCCCAGCUUUUAAGGUUGGAAGUGCUAUUGAAACUGUGCAGCUUGAGUGCAGGAGAGGUUAUCGGAAUUCCCGGUGUAGCGGUGAAAUGCGUAGAGAUCGGGAGGAACACCAGUGGCGAAGGCGGGUGACUGGACUGCAACUGACGCUGAGGCGCGAAAGUGUGGGGAGCAAACAGGAUUAGAUACCCGGGUAGU